CAUGGCAAUGAGCCGGGAACGAAAUCAACCCCCUCCCCUCAGUUGGUCAGAAUUUCAUGUGGGGCUAGGAAGGGGUAAGAAUUUGGUGUGGGCUAGGGAGGGGCUUCGAUUGGUGGUGGCUAAGGUUUUAAGAGUGGUGGCAAGGAGUCAGUCCAGCGGUUACUAAUUUUUUUUUGUUUUUUUAUAAUUAUUUUGAAUUUUUUAAAAAAAAUUACCCAAUAAUAUGGUGACACAUGUACAUGGUAGGCCUUGCUAACAAAAUUUUGGAUAGAAUCCAUUAGUUGAGGGUGAUUGGUGGUAAAAACUAACUUUUUUUUGUGUGGUAAUAUAAAACUUUAAAAUAUGGAGGUGGUUAAAGGCAAAGCCAUUAAGUGGUUAUUUGGAGGUGGGAAAAGUUAAAAUUUCCAUAAUACAACUAAUUUCAUGUAGUACUUGUCAUAAUUUCUUUAUUCCCGUAGCUUGAUUAAUUGUUGAUCUCAAAUACCAAGUUGGCGACAAGUGAUGUUUGAUCCCCCAUUCAUAAGCUAUUACAAGUGAUGUUUGACCAGUGACCGUUAGGAUUAAUAUCAAUUAUUAUCCACAAAAUUAUGUACAUAAACUAAUUCUUUUUUAAAAAAGAAAAAAAAAAGUGGGGUGACAUUUGUCUCUCUUUGUCCCCACCUAGCUCUGCCUCAGGUUGGGAGGAUAGGGUUUUUUUUUCAGUUUUUUAAUUUUGAGUUUUUUAAGUUUUUUUUAACCACUCACAUGGCCAUGUGUCAAAGAAACCUGUUAUAUCAGAUUGAUGACUAGUUGAGACUACUAGUGGCAAAAUAAUUAAGAUUAUUAGAUAAUAAGCCUUAGUUAAUGCUAUUAGAUGUAAAUUGUCUAUAGUUGGGUCUUGGGGAUUUUAAAGUGUAUAUAAAUACCUUUUAAUAAUUCCAACAAUGUGUGGUUUAUUUCUAAUAAUCUGAAAUAAUGUUUAUUCUCUAAUAAUCCAACAUAAACUAAUAUCCUCAGCAAAAUUAAAUUCAAACUAAAAGCAAGUUACGGAAAAUCCAUAAUCAAAAUUAAGACUAAAGAAAGUAAAACACUUAAUACUAUUACUACUUACGUAAAUCUAAAAACUAAUACUCCUCCCAUAUAUAGCUGCGUGGAAUGGAGUAAUAGUAAGGCUCGUAAAAUUGGGAAACCGACUUUAGUUGAACAACUACAGUAAGGCCCAAGGAAAAAACAAAAGUUGCGUCCAGUUGUAGUAUUCUUCAUCUGAGGCCCGAUUGCUUCGAGUAAGCUCACGGUCUGGCUCUAGAUCGUGGACGUGAUUGAGCUUCUAACUUUGCUCAGAAUCUUCUAUCUUGGUUGGUCCAUGUUAGUAAUUUGGAAUCUUGAACAUCUUCACAUAUCAAGCCCUUAAUCACCAAAUUAUAUUUAUCUAUCACGAUCUUGAGCUUUAAAUACUCAGGAAUCAUCAUAAAUUUGUAAAUUCCAACAAAUUAAUACCAAUCCUACAAAAUAGUUUCGUAAAGCUCAAAUAAACACAAAUAUAUGACCGUGGGACGGAAAAUAAAUAUGCAUAGAAUAGACUCAUCAAUUAAUUUGGUUCCAAAUGUCCCAGACGACCGGUAACAUGAUAAGAAGGUUACUUUUUUUUAAUUAAAUAUGUUGCAUUUUUAUUGAUCUAGAAAAAUAAGAAAAUAAAAAAUCUUUUCCCAAAAACCCUACUCAUUAGAAACCAUCACAUCCUGAUCCCCCUUCCCUUCGCCCACCCUUCAAUAUUCGAUCCUUUGCCUUCUUCUUCCCCCGAUUCUUGCCCCAUCCCCUUCCCCCACCCUUGAAUUCAGCUCCAUACAUUUCCAUACCCCCGAUUUUGAUGAGAAUUUUCUUUCUCUCCUUACCGGCGGCUGUGAAGGGGUUUCGGGCGGGUAAAGAGUUUUACAAGGGAAAGGGGCGAGAAAGGGGGUGGUUUUGCGAGGGAUCAAGGUGCGAGGGGGUAGUUUUGUGACUAGGCAAGGUGGGAGGACAGUGGUUUGACGAAGGGCAGAGGGGUGGGUUAAAGGAAGUUUCAAAGGUGCAGUAGGAAGGGAGGGGGAAAUUUUGGGGGUGGGGCUGAUGAAGGGGGUUGUUUUCGGUGUGGUGGAAGAGGAAGGGGAAGGUUUCUGGCAUAUUCCAGCUUAGAUUAUAGGGAGAGGAGGGUGCUUGGUAGGGAGGUAAGUUUUUUUUUUAAAAAAAAUUUCAAUUUUUUUAGUAUUUCUGAUGAACUACUCACGUGAUGCCACGUGUGUAAUACCGAGUAGGAGAGGUGGCCUAUCGAUUAGCGUUACCUAUGGAUUUAUCAAAUGCCCAUAAUGUUUUUCAUGUAUCCCAACUCCAAAAAUAUGUCCAUGACCCUACCCAUGUUAUUCAACCUGAAUUAAUAGAGUUAGAUGAGACCUUAUCCUUUGAAGAGCGUCCUAUUAAAAUCCUUGACACUAAGACAAGAGGUACCCGAAACAAAGUGGUGAAGCUAGUUAAGGUCCUAUGGUCAAAUCAAUUUUCCGAGGAGGCAACUUGGGAAGCUGAGAAUGACAUGAGAAAGCGUUACCCUGAGCUAUUUCAUGAGACGGAGGCUACAUAGGAGAUCGCUCAGGAAAUAAGUAAGACAAAAUUACGCGCUAUCAAGGUUGGUAAGACGGGUUGGUUCGAGUGAGGACGUAUCAUAGAACAGAAUAAGACUAUUUGACCUUGUCGUCAUUUAAUAUAAUUUUGGUUUAAGUUAUGUUAAGUUUGGGUUGUAAUAAGUUAUACUUGUUUUAGACCACCUAGCUAUGGUAUAAUAGUUUAAUGUUUGUUUUUAUCGAACUAUCUUAUACCUCUUAGUAACACUUCCAGAGUUUGAAUGACGAUUUUCAAUAAGAAUGUGAUUUUAGUUAUUAUAAAAAGAUUUCAAAUUUUGGGGG